rnacentral:rRNA from 1 species
CGUAAGCGCGCGUAGGUGGUUUGUUAAGUUGGAUGUGAAAGCCCCGCGCUCAACCUGGGAACUGCAUCCAAAACUGGCAAGCUAGAGUACGGUAGAGGGUGGUGGAAUUUCCUGUGUAGCGGUGAAAUGCGUAGAUAUAGGAAGGAACACCAGUGGCGAAGGCGACCACCUGGACUGAUACUGACACUGAGGUGCGAAAGCGUGGGGAGCAAACAGGAUU